CUGUCACCCUGACCGCAAGGCUACAGAAGACUGGACAGUCUUUUAUCCCGGGAGAAAAAUAUGGGAUCCUUUGGAAAGAGAGGAAGGGCAUCUCAGGAGGAGGGACAAGGAUGGAGAUGCAUCCCUCUGCCAUCCUGCCUCG